rnacentral:rRNA from 1 species
UACGUAGGGAGCAAGCGUUGUCCGGAAUCAUUGGGCGUAAAGCGCGCGUAGGUGGCCUCAUAAGUCCGCUGUGAAAGUCAAAGGCUCAACCUUUGAAAGCCGGUGGAUACUGUGAGGCUAGAGUACGGAAGAGGCGAGUGGAAUUCCUGGUGUAGCGGUGAAAUGCGCAGAUAUCAGGAGGAACACCGGUGGCGAAGGCGGGACUCUGGGCCGAUACUGACGCUGAGGAGCGAAAGCGUGGGGAGCGAACAGG